UUGACCUCAAAUCAGGUAGGACUACCCGCUGAACUUAAGCAUAUCAAUAAGCGGAGGAAAAGAAACUAACAAGGAUUCCCCUAGUAACUGCGAGUGAAGCGGGAAAAGCUCAAAUUUAAAAUCUGGCGGUCUCCGGCCGUCCGAGUUGUAAUCUAGAGAAGUGUUAUCCG
rnacentral:rRNA from 1 species